GGUUACCUCACUUGAGGUACUCUCAACUGGAAUCCUUAAGGUUUCAGACACAGCGCUGGCUACAUAGGAAUGUGUAGAUCCUAUAUCUAUCAAUGCCGUGUAAGGCACAUUAUAAAUAAGAGACGUACCCGUGAUAACAUCCGAAGCAUCUCUGUCCUCUCAGCGACGUGCAACGUAUAGAAGAGCAGGCUGCCUCACCUCAGUCUGUUUAGCAC
rnacentral:lncRNA from 1 species